ACGAGGCACUACGGUGCUGAAGCAACAAAUGCCCUGCUUCCAGGAAAAGCCUCUAAGCAUCAGGUAACAUCAAAUCGUACCCCAAACCGACACAGGUGGUCAGGUAGAGAAUACCAAGGCGCUUGAGAGAACUCGGGUGAAGGAACUAGGCAAAAUGGUGCCGUAACUUCGGGAGAAGGCACGCUGACACGUAGGUGAAGUGAUUUACUCAUGGAGCUGAAGUCAGUCGAAGAUACCAGCUGGCUGCAACUGUUUAUUAAAAACACAGCACUGUGCAAACACGAAAGUGGACGUAUACGGUGUGACGCCUGCCCGGUGCCGGAAGGUUAAUUGAUGGGGUCAGCGCAAGCGAAGCUCCUGAUCGAAGCCCCGGUAAACGGCGGCCGUAACUAUAACGGUCCUAAGGUAGCGAAAUUCCUUGUCGGGUAAGUUCCGACCUGCACGAAUGGCGUAAUGAUGGCCAGGCUGUCUCCACCCGAGACUCAGUGAAAUUGAACUCGCUGUGAAGAUGCAGUGUACCCGCGGCAAGACGGAAAGACCCCGUGAACCUUUACUAUAGCUUGACACUGAACAUUGAGCCUUGAUGUGUAGGAUAGGUGGGAGGCUUUGAAGUGUGGACGCCAGUCUGCAUGGAGCCGACCUUGAAAUACCACCCUUUAAUGUUUGAUGUUCUAACGUGGACCCGUGAUCCGGGUUGCGGACAGUGUCUGGUGGGUAGUUUGACUGGGGCGGUCUCCUCCUAAAGAGUAACGGAGGAGCACGAAGGUUGGCUAAUCCUGGUCGGACAUCAGGAGGUUAGUGCAAUGGCAUAAGCCAGCUUGACUGCGAGCGUGACGGCGCGAGCAGGUGCGAAAGCAGGUCAUAGUGAUCCGGUGGUUCUGAAUGGAAGGGCCAUCGCUCAACGGAUAAAAGGUACUCCGGGGAUAACAGGCUGAUACCGCCCAAGAGUUCAUAUCGACGGCGGUGUUUGGCACCUCGAUGUCGGCUCAUCACAUCCUGGGGCUGAAGUAGGUCCCAAGGGUAUGGCUGUUCGCCAUUUAAAGUGGUACGCGAGCUGGGUUUAGAACGUCGUGAGACAGUUCGGUCCCUAUCUGCCGUGGGCGCUGGAGAACUGAGGGGGGCUGCUCCUAGUACGAGAGGACCGGAGUGGACGCAUCACUGGUGUUCGGGUUGUCAUGCCAAUGGCACUGCCCGGUAGCUAAAUGCGGAAGAGAUAAGUGCUGAAAGCAUCUAAGCACGAAACUUGCCCCGAGAUGAGUUCUCCCUGAGACUUAGAGUCUCCUGAAGGAACGUUGAAGACGACGACGUUGAUAGGCCGGGUGUGUAAGCGCAGCGAUGCGUUGAGCUAACCGGUACUAAUGAACCGUGAGGCUUAACC
rnacentral:rRNA from 2 species